rnacentral:rRNA from 1 species
CCUGAAAUGGGUGUUCGAAUUAGGAAAUAGGGAGUAGAGAGUAACAGACAUGGGCAAUCUAAAAUCUUGAAGCAGGACUAGGUUCCGUACCUUUGGUAUCAGGGCAUGAGGAUUAAUUCCUCUAGGAGAAUAAUUCCCGAAAGGAGGUGAUCUCUUCUUAUGCACCGUUUUCGUAGAAUUGAGGAGGGUAACGUAGGGCGAGAGGUGAUAUACCACUCAAACCUCCUUAUAACUGGUUUCCCGCGAAUUUAGGCGCACAACGCUGAUAAUUAUUUCGGGGAUAAGCUCGAAAUUACAGAGGGAUGAGAUGAUUAGACUUACAUAAAUCCUUGUCGAUUAAAAGAAUAUCUUUCAAAAUCCUCAGAUAAAUCUGAAUUAACGGGAUAAGGGGAGAAUAAAACCCCCUUUGUAACAAUCUCAUGAUUAGUAUUAAUAGGAUAUUUCGUCUAAGGAACUCGGCAACUACGGGGUUGGCCUGUUUACUAAAAACACCUCCUGGGGGAUAAAAUCCCAGGUAUGACCUGCCCGGUGAGCAAUCGCAUAAACGGCUGCAGGACUCCUUCCUGUACGAAGGUAGCAAAAGUAAUUUGCCUUUUAAUUGGAGGAUCGAAUGAAUGGUAGGACUAGACCCCUUCUGUCUCAGAAGAAUUCGUAAGAAAUUGGAUUUUGAUUAAAAAUAAUCAAAUGCCCCGGUGGGACGAGAAGACCCUGAAGAUUUCUGUUCCUAACCUUGUCUACUGAUGGGUAUAAUUUUACCUAGGAGAAUGGAAGGAUCUUACCUGGGAAGGGGGGGAGAAACAUCCUUUAAUAAGAAAGGCUAACGAGCCGAUAUAAUAGAUCCCCUUAAGGGGGAAAAUAGGAAGAAAAUACCUCAGGGGUAACAGCACAAUAUCCUUCCCCUGACCUCAAGGAGGGAGGGAGGUUGUGACCUCGAUGUUGAAUUGGGUUUCCUCUAGGGAGGAGAAAAUCUAGAAGUCAGUCUGUUCGACUGUUAAAAACCCACAUGAUUUGAGUUUAGACCGACGUGAGUCAGGUCAGAUUCUAUCUACCGGAAGAAAUCCUCCUCCAAGUACGAAAGGACAGGUGGAGGGGUUAUUAACUUUCUCAA